GCCAGAGAAGGAAGGGGAAACCCCUUGUCAUCACAAAAUCAACAAAUUGAAGCAAUAAUUGUGAUUAAAAUCCAUGCAUGCCUUUGAUUUCUUAAUCAUCUAAGCACACUAAAGCACAAGGAGUAAAAGAAGAAGACGCAAGCCAUUCCGGAGCGCAAGCAAGACACGAUAAAAGUAAACCGCCUUGCUAGAUGUUGUCAAGCUUGGAGGGAACACACCACCCGAAUCAAACGCUUCCGCAUGUCAUGGUUAAAACGGGUCAAAACAUUUUGGUUUCGUAUUUUUAAGUUAUGUAAUACAUUGUAAAUUUGUAUUGAACUUAUCGCUUUGGCGUUUUAAUGUUAGUAACUUCCAUAACUAUGAUUUCAUUUUUGGUGUAAAUGUCGAUUAAGUCUUUCGGCUAGU